AGCACACUACAGCUGCAAAACAGGGGCUGGGCAGAGAACUUCAUUUAUACACACGUAUAAUAGAUAUAUAUAUUAUCAAUCUGUCUACCAUUAUAUAUACACACACACACACUACCCUUCCUCACCCUAUCUUUGCUGCACUAAACCCUUCUCUUCAGUACGUCUCUCCCGGUGGCUGGGCAGGUUCUAAGCACAACCUGAAGAGAGCUUACUCUGCUUAGAGAAACCGGAGAUCGAAGUCUCGUUCGUAACCUCAUAGAAGGUCUUUUCAUGGUCAAAAAGAUGCCAAACAAAGUCUGCAAGAAUUGUUUUGGUUACAUAGUGGUUCACAAUGUAGAGAACCCUAGAAUGUGUGUAUGUACUCGGGCCGCAAAGGUUGGAAGCAUUUUCUUGCAACCUCUGUAACAAAUUGUGUGGCAUACAUUCGGCUUUGGUGAAUCAUCAAGCCACAAUAUACAGAAAUGAUCCGGAGUAUACCACAUGUAACGUCAAAUUCAGAAAUGAACCAGAGGUGGUGGAACACCGGGAGUUUCUGUUGUUAUUGUUAUGCUUGACUGUUUUAACUUAGUUUCUAUUGUCUUUUUGUUAUAUAUGACAGUUUUAACUUUUGAUUAUUAACUUAGCUUUUAUUGUUCUGUUGUUCGA